UCAUAUACAUCGCCCAUCUGUCCCCUUCCAUCCUCGCUUUCCAACCUUCACCAACUCCCCUCUUCGCUCGUCAGUGUCAUCCAGUCGUCCUCUUCCUCUCCUCGAUUGCGUGGUUACCAGAUCUGGACUAGCGGCACCGCUGCUGCACACGAGCAGAUCGAGACGGCGGGAGGAAUCUUGCAGCUGAUAUAGUUCUCAAAGGAACGAUCUAAAUUUCAUUUUCCUCAAUAAAUUCAAUGCAGCUUGACAUCCGUGGCGAGAUUGACCUAUAUCUAAUUAAUAAGAGUACUCUUGCCAUCCAACAAAUGGCAAAGCAAACUGCAGCUAGCGGUAGCAGCAGUUGGUGGCUUGAUCACGAAUUCAGGAUAAGGAGCACUGGUAUGUCGAGGUGUUUCCUGACAUCUACAGUGUGGUAUGCGAAAAAGAUACUUCGUAGCUCCUGAGAUCCCAGAAAAUAUAUCAAUCAAGGCGUGCCAAAAUGCUAUUGGUUGAUCUAAUUUUCUCUAAAUUAUUGUGUUUGCGCAAAACCCUCUAUUUUAUCAACCAUGUUAGUCACCUACUGAGGAAGGCAAUGAUUCAUCCACUCGAUGCAACUCAUGAUAUUCCAUGCCCUUUUCAGGACCACAAUUGCACAUAUCUUACCAUUGUGUAUUGCUGAAAAUGUCUAAUGAAAUUACUUUAUAAAAGUGUGGAAGUUUAAUUUGACGAUAUGACAUCCAAAAUUUUCUUUGUUGUUCUGCACAUCUUAUAUUAAAUAGUAGUAAUGCAAGAUGAAUCCACCUUCUCUGAAUAAUAGAAGGGCCUUGAUGUUUACAUGUCACUUUUUUCUUGAUUCUGAAGUUGCCCUUCGGUGAUUUUCAUGUUUAAUUUCCGGCAUUUCUUUUCCUCAUGUGGAGGGAUGGAUCAAAGUAAAUGGACGGGAGAUUUCUGAUGGAGUGGCACAAUUCAAAUUUGGGGUUAUAGUCUUAUAGAUAUGUGGUGAUAUUUCAGUUGUAGCUUUUUUUCCACUUACAAAAGAAGCGGAGAUGGUGGGCAUGUAUUGAAGCCAUGGACCAUUUGGGUUCCACGUGUAAACUUCCAUAUAAUCCUCUAAUAUGUGUGUUCGUCAGUUGUCCAAACUUUGAUUGAUAUAAGUAUGUAUUAUUCUACAGUA